UGAUAUCGGAGUGUAUUUUCUUCUCCUGAACGUUCUGGAAGAUUUUAUGAUGAUUUUUGGUUGAUUUUGGGUGACCUAUCGGCUUCUAGGGUUUUUUAGUGGUUUAACCUAGGGUUCUACUGCUUUCCGGUGGCUCGAUUAUUACUCAUUGGACGUUUUGGGUGCCUCUCCGACGUUCCUGACCACAUUUUCAGUAAGGAUUUCCAAGGUUACACCUAGGGUUUUGUACCUAAGGUUUCUCUGUUGUUUGAAGGCCGAUCUUCUCCGGUUGCGAAGAAGGAGGGUAACUCUGUCCUUAUCUUCGAUUUUGUAUGUGAUUAUUUGACUCUGUACUUGUGAGCAUCUGGUGUUGUCUGUGAAUACCUGACUUGGCUAUAUUCUGUUUGUUGGUUGUUGUGAGUGAAUACCUGUUUUGGUUGUAUUCUGUUUGUUGAAAAGUUGUUCUUUUAAGCCGGUUCAUUGACUGUGGCUUCUAACACAAGUACUGGUGCCUCCCCUUCUGUAGUGUUGUAUUCUGUUGUAUUCUGUUCGUUGAAAAGUUGUUCUUUUAAGCCGGUUCAUUGACUAUGGCUUCUAACAUAAGUACUGGUGCCUCCCCUUUUGUAGACUCUUCCAGUCCCCAUUUUGUAUAUUCUUCUGAUGUACCUGGGGUAUCUCUCGUUCCCACUCCCUUCUCGGGUAGUGGUUAUGGGGGCUGGAGACGUAAAAUGAUUGUUGCCUUAUCAGCCAAAAACAAAAUNNN
rnacentral:lncRNA from 1 species